CUUUUUUAUCCUUUUGAAUACUUUUAUCUAAAUAAAAAAAAUAUAUAAAGGGUAUUAUUUUACCACAACUUCUUAAUGCGCAGUCGUAUAGUGAAAAAUAACAAUAGUUAUUAGAAUCUCACAAGAUUAACCACAAUGUAUAAAUAUCUUUUUUCUUAUCCUUUUGAAUAGAUUUACCUAAAUAAAAAAAUUAUAAGCACAUUAUUUUGCCACAACUUCUCAAUUAUAUGCAUAGUCAC
rnacentral:lncRNA from 1 species